CCGACCUCAGAAGCUAAGCAGGUUCAGGCCUGGUUAGUACUUGGAGGGAGGACCACUUGGGAGUCCUGGG
rnacentral:rRNA from 1 species